rnacentral:rRNA from 1 species
UACGUAGGGGGCAAGCGUUGUCCGGAAUCAUUGGGCGUAAAGAGCGUGUAGGCGGCCCGGUAAGUCCGCUGUGAAAGUCCAGGGCUCAACCCUGGGAUGCCGGUGGAUACUGUCGGGCUCGAGUCCGGAAGAGGAGUGUGGAAUUCCCGGUGUAGCGGUGAAAUGUGUAGAGAUCGGGAGGAACACCGGUGGCGAAGGCGGCCUUCUGGACGGUGACUGACGCUGAGGCGCGAAAGCGUGGGGAGCAAACAGG